AUGGACUAGAAACCAGCACAGAAUAACUGUCAAUUAAAAUGUAGAUAUUUUAGGGCUGGGAUGUAGCUCAGUGGUUCCGCCAUCUGCCUUGCAAGCGCAAGGUCCUGAAUUUGAUCCCGGUACCCCAAAAAAAGGUAGGUAUUUUAAUCAUGAUCACCGUUAUUAAUAUUAUAUAUUCUUAGUAGAUUAUAUAUCCCCAGAACAAAAAUUAUGUUAAUUAUAAAUGAAACAGUGCUAGGUUCCUGAAAUUACUUGGAUCACAUCAGCAUGGACUGUAGUGGAGGGGACAAGCUUGCGGCUGACUGGUGUGGAGGCUGAGGACGUUUAUCUGCUGCAGAGCUUGGGAUUUGUGUAGGCUGUGGUCUACCUUCAAGGCUUCAGUAUCCUCAUGAAGCCCAGGCGAGGGCUGGAGCCAGCAAGCAAGGCUAAAUGAGAGGGUGAGGAUGAAUAGGGAAAACCUAGCCGCAGGACAGUGCUAUCCCAAGUCAAGGGAUAGGAAAAUCUAGGCUGCAGGGCCUCAGAGCUGAACAAUUCCUGGGAGUGAGACUAGCAGGAACUCUGCCAACCUUUGGGAUCUUAAAUAAGAGGCAGGGCAUGGGGGAAUGAAGAAAAUGUCCUAGUAUAAUUUGGACUGUAAUUAUCUCCUAAAAGCCUGUAGUUUAAAGGUUUGGCUCCAGAAUGGCACUAUUCGGAAAUUCUGAAACUCAGGAAAAUUAGGACCUAGUGGGAGGUCUUUCGGUAGUUGGAGACAUGUCCUUGAAGGGAAAGUGGGAUCUGGAUCACUUCCUCUUUCUCUUUUGCUUCUUGGGACCGAGGUGAACUCUACAACAUGCACUAAUCAUGAUGUGCUGCCGCAUCCAAACCAAUGGGCCCAACUGAUCAUUGGCUGAAACCCGGAAAACCAUGAGCCAAAACCAACCUUUUCUCUUCAUAAGCUGAUUCUCAGCAGAAAGCUGACUAAGCCCAGUUACCCAUGAGUCUUUAUUAAACACCAAGUGGAAGAAGAAAAAUAUUGGAACUAGAAAUGCCCCUGUAUGGAGCAGAAAAAGAUCUUGGAAUACAGACAGCUUUACUUUUUUUCCUGAAGUCAUAGGUACGGAUAGCACCAGCAACUUUGUAGUUGACAGAGUUUUCAG
rnacentral:lncRNA from 1 species